rnacentral:lncRNA from 1 species
AAUCUUAUAGAUUGUUGAGAUAAGAGAAGCUACAUGAUUUAGCUUUGUAUAGAGACUUGUACAUUUUGUGUAUACUCAGUGUAUAUUUUUGGUAUAUCCAUGGUAUACCUUGUAGUUAGGUUGUCAUUGGGCUAUGAUGAUUUGUGUGUCUGAGCCCACAGGUCAUUAUUUAAUUUUGGGCCGGAUCACCCGACCUGACCCGUCCAUGUGUGAUAUGUAUAUAUUGUAGGUGAGAUAUUUUCUAACCUACCGGCUUUCAUUUCCUCUCAUUUUUCUCUGUAAUAAUAUUUCUCUCAUUUCCAGAGAGUUCCAAACGCUCUGUCUUCUCUCUACUUUCUCUCUCUACAGUUUCUAUGAUUUCUCGGUCUAAUAUCCGAAAUGCUCUGACUUCUCUCUACUUUCUCUCUCUAUGUUUUCUAUGAUUUCUCGAUGUAAUAUCAAUGUUUACAUGGUAUCAGAGCCUAUACGACGAUCCGAUUAUGUUUCUCUACAUCUCGUUGUCUUGGCUGAUCUCUUUUUGAGAUUUUUUUGGGGAUUUUUCUGAGACCUUAUGGUCGAUGAUGGUUCUGACCUAGAUCGGAUGCUUUUCUGAGUUUUUCAUCAUGAUAUUUGAGUAUAUUUUCUUCACCCGAAAAUUCUGAGAGUUUUUCUGUUGAUUUUGGGUGGUUUCUCGGUGACCUAUCGGCUUCUAGGGUUUCUGGUGGUUUAACCUAGGUUCUACUGCUUUCCGGUGGCUCGAUUCUCACUCAGCGGAUGUUUUGGGUGCCUCUCCGACGUUCCUGACCACAUUUCCAGUAAGGAUUUCCAAGGUUACACCUAGGGUUUUAUACCUAGGGUUUUCUCUGUUGUUUGAAGGCCGAUCUUCUCCGGUCGCGAAGAAGGAGGGUAACUAUGUCCUUAUCUUCGGUACUGUAUGUCAUUAUCUGGUGUUGUGUGUUAAUACCUGAUUUGGUUAUACUCUGUUUGUUGGUUGUUGUGUGUGAAUACUAUUUGGUUAUAUUCUGUUUGUUGAAAAUUGUUCUUUUAAGCCGGUUCAUUGAGUAUGGCUUCUAACACAAAUACUGGUGCCUCCUCUUCUGUAGACUCUUCCAGUCCCCCUUUUGUAUAUUCAUCUGAUGUUCCUGGGGUCUCCCUUGUUCCCACUCCCUUCUCAGGUAGUGGUUAUGGGGGUUGGAGACGUAAAAUGAUUAUUGCUUUAUCAGCCAAAAACAAAAUUGGUUUUGUUGAUGGCACAUGCUCCCGACCUGCCAUUAAUGUGGCUCAACAAAGGUUGUGGGAUAGGUGCAACAUCCCAACUCCAGGCCAGAUAUGGCACUGCAAACAGGACCAAAAUCUUUGAACUGAAAAGAGAGUUGUCCCACACCUCUCAAGGGUCCUUAGACAUAGCUUCGUAUUUUAAUAAGCUAACAAGUCUGUGGGAUGAACUUGAUUCAAUGUGUGUUAAUCAUGGUCAAAGGUGUAUUUGUGCUGCAACAGAUUGUAUAGUACAGGAAAGUCAUGAUAAUAAGGUCUUUCAAUUUUUAAUGGGUCUGAAUGAAGCAUAUAUGGGGGUCAGGAGUAAUCUU